AGGGACUUAGGAUCAACCAUCAGACCUAGGGCCUUCAAAGCCCCCAGCGGGGGUGAAAACCCCCCAGCCCCUGUGU
rnacentral:tRNA from 1 species